rnacentral:lncRNA from 1 species
AGAUAACGUCACCUCAGACUUAAAGUGAGGGAACCUAGACUUCACCUCAUAAAGGGAGGAGAAACGAGGUGUCUACAUCCAUCUUUAAUUGACCCCACCUGCACUUCUUGAUUCUUUACAAGCUCCGUUAACAAAUCAUUUCACAGCCAUCACCCCAGCUUCUAUGAUAGGUGCUAGAAUUUUCAGCAGGGUGGGUGGUCAGGAGAGAAGAGAGAUGAUUGAUUAGACAGCCGUUAUCCUGAUGGCCCACGUGGGAACUUGCUUUUGCUAACUCCGAGCAAUGCUGAGAGGAAAAUCAGCACGGAAAUGUCUUGCCUAAAAAAUAGACUCGAAACUUUUUUGAGAUUUCAAGUCGUCUGUCUGUCCAUCAUCCUAAGAGACAGGGGGUAUAUUUGACAGAGCAGUGGACACAGAACAGCCUACCUGCAGGGCUUUCUACUGUUUAUCAAACUUAAUCAACAUGAGUGACAGAAAACCUGAUAAUAGAUAAGAGCUGAUACUGCUGG